UACGUAGGUGGCAAGCGUUAUCCGGAAUUAUUGGGCGUAAAGCGCGCGCAGGCGGUUUCUUAAGUCUGAUGUGAAAGCCCACGGCUCAACCGUGGAGGGUCAUUGGAAACUGGGGAACUUGAGUGCAGAAGAGAAAAGCGGAAUUCCACGUAUAGCGGUGAAAUGCGUAGAGAUGUGGAGGAACACCAGUGGCGAAGGCGGCUUUUUGGUCUGUAACUGACGCUGAGGCGCGAAAGCGUGGGGAGCAAACAGG
rnacentral:rRNA from 1 species